AGGGUGGAGAUUGAGAAGUCAGAAAUGCCCAUUUUUUAUUUCCUUUCUUCAUCAUUAAUCUCACUCUUCACUUCAUCUUCCUUUCAAUCAUCCUCUAAUUUCUCUCAUCUUCUUCCUCUUUUCUUUUUUUGGUUUUUUUUUUUGGUUUUUAAUUCUGACCAAGAGCAACAACAAAUAAAUUUUUUCCCGGUGUAGAAGAAAUUACAGUAUUACAGGUCUCCUCCGGCCUCAAGAGGGUUAAGGUUUCGUCCGAGCAUGACAAGUUUCAUGAGACCUAUGUUCUCGACAGAGACACCAUCGAUUUCCUAUUCAGGAUUACAGUAUGGUGGUGCUUUUCUCUGUUUUCAUGUAUGUUGUAUUCUCUGCAGUUCUCUUCUACUUCAUCAUCAGUUUUACUGUAAUUGGUCUUGCUCCUGAAUUUUUUUUUUUUUGGGUUUUUAUGUUUUACAGGUCAUAGAUUCUAUAACAUAUUGUUCAUAUUUUAGGUUUAAAUAGUUUGGUUGAAGAUUUGCGUGUAUUUCAUUUACAUUGCCUUGCAUUAAAGCUCUUGCCUUUGUUGUCUUUUGGCAGAUAGCUUUCUAAUUUAGUUCCAGGUUGCUUAUUUGUUUUAAUCUUUCCCAUGUAUGGAAUGUUUUACAAAAAAAUAUUAUGAAAUUAGGUUCUCUUGUACCACUAAGUUGCCUUUGCAUUAAACUUACUCUUUGAUUUUGCUUUUCAGGACCAGCUGGUUAUUCAAUGUUGAAAGAUUGCAUAGGGUUCAUAUAGAGUGAUCAAUUUUUGAGAUAACCUCUUUUUGAUCUGUCUCCACUGUUUAAUUAUCUACUUUUUAUGUUUUUCAUGUUUUGAUUUUCCUCAAUUCUUCUAUUCCUGACACACCUACUCUUAAUGAAUAAGUUACUUACGAUGGCUUUUUUCACAUGUUUCCAAAAAUUGACUGUCUUAUAGGCUUAGGUGGUUAGAUGAAAAGUUUGAGCUUUUAGAGGGUAAGCAAGACAAAUGUUCCAUGACCUUAGAUCACUAUUAUUUUUUACAGUGAACAUUAUAGAUUUGUAUAUUGUGUUCUUGAAUCAAUUAUGAAAUCAUGACCCCAGUUUCAAUGGUAAUUUUGUCCAUAGCCCUUGGUUAAUUGGGUUUUUUACAAACAUUAUGUGGAUUGAUGGUGUGUUCUCUGCACUGAAUUGUGAUAUGUUAUUUUCGAAAGACUGAGGCUAUCCUUUAUGGUUGGUUGUGUUUUCCUGUGAAUUGAGUGGAUUACGUAGGUUUUUUCAUUAGUACUUACUGCUGCCUGCAUGUAUCUGUUGUACAUUGUACAAAAGUUUUUGUGAGGCUUGAUUGUUUGCCUAGACAGGCAUUAUUACGAUGUAUUAGGGAUGAUGACAGCCUAAUUUUUCGUUUGACAAAUGUUUAAUCUGUAAGCAUUUAAGUGAUUGUUUAUGCAACAAGUCAUAUGCUUUUUCCUUUGGAAAUGAGCAGUCCACCAUUUGAAACCCCUCCAUAAACAAUAACCACUAUGAAUAUCCCUUGAGAAGUUUUACAUUUACCCAAAAAAAAAAAAAAACACAAAAGCAAAAGAAAGAGGAGAUGUUCCAUGAACUAUUGCCUCUGUUUCUUUUUCUUUGAUUCAUUCUUCAAUUGUUAAAUGUCAACUGUUGCUAUGUAUUCAUUUGUCUAUGUUUCUAUUUUGAUGGAUUUUGAGGUUUUCUAGGCAGAUUAGAGUCUUAUUGAUUCUUAGUAUAUAUGCUGAAGAAUGCUUCUUCUGAAGUUCUUGUGUUGUGAUAUUAUAAUUCUAUACCCAUUUUUUUUGUUGUGGUUUACUUGACAUUUCUUAUUUGCUCACUCCAAUACUUAAAUUUCUAUACUAUAUGCAGGUUAUAAAGACAGCUAGAGCAUCUAAGAUAUCCUUUUCCAUUUCAAGCCUUUUCAAUUUCAACAUUUAUUAAGGAAUCCUCAAUUUGUUGCUUUAUUACUUCUUUUUUAAGGGAUUCAGAAUAACUCUUGGUCUCAUUACUAUCUGUAGAGUUCUGUUUUUUGUGAAACUGGUUUUUUUGUUUUCAUUUGUAUGGCAUCUUUAAUUGAAUUACACAUGAAGUAUAGAGAAAUUCAACUAGCAAGAAAAUAAGAGGUUUUUAGAAAAUGUCAAAAAUGGGUCAAAUUUUGGAAAAUUAUAUAUGUGAUGAAUAUCAUUUUUAAGUUGUUAAGCUUAAAACGACUUAUAAAUCUCAACUUAUUCAACCUUUGUUGUAAAUCUCACUCACUCUUAAAAUAUGUAUUUGCUAAGUUAUCUACAUUUGCAAAACACAGCUUUGUCCUAUGUUUAGAAUUCUUUUUCUGCAAGAGAACACACCAUCUCACUCACAGCUUUGUCCUAUGUUUAGUAUUACAAACACAUCAAGACAAACUGCAAAUGAAACUUCGAAAACAAAUUGACUUGAAUUUUAUCCUAUCUUUAGAAUUCUUUUUCUGUGGUUCAUAUGCUCAGCAAUUAAAUGCUUGCAUAUCGUAUAAGCAAGUGCAAGUUUUACUAUAAUCCCAAAAUGUGUCAUUUUCUUUUGGAUCGACUUUCCUUUGUUUUCUAAUAAAUCUAACGCAUUCUUUCUUCUUUUGGCUAUCUACAUUGAAUUCUUCUAAUGUUACAAUUGCAAAGCUUCAUAGACAUGUUAAGAACAAUAAUUUCAUUAUUUUUUGUUGUCAUUUCUCCAUUUUUUGUUCUGUGUUACUUAUAGUUUACCAUAUGUGCAUCUUCAGCAUUCUAUUUUUCAGCGAUUCUUAUAGUUUUACUUAUAGUUUUUUGGGGACUCUAAAAGAAAUCUCAACAUUUCUUUGUUUGACUCUUCAAUACAUGAGCAAGUUUAUAUUACUUUCAAUAAUUAUAUCCGUGUCUUACCUGCUUAAAACCCAUACUUCUUCACUAUGAAUUUGAUUUGCUUCUGUUUAUCUUCUUUAGGUUCUUCUUCAAAACUGCAAUGUCUCCAUCAAGCCUUGCAAUCCAAUACACUACAAAAUUCAUCAGGUUAAUCUCCAAUCUGCCAGCAAUUGUAUAUAAUUAUCUUUCAGAUGCAAUACAAAUAUACCAGGUUUGCAUGAAAACAUUUAUUGUUGGUGCUGUUAGCAAUGUUACUUUAGCAAUUGUUUUAAAAUAUUGCCUCAAAUGCAUUCAUUUGUACUCUUAUAGAAUUGCUGUCGCCUUCUUUGAAUGAUGUGAGACAACAAAUUGUGAAUGACAGUGAUAUUUCCAUUAAAGGUUUAUUAUACACCUAUUAUGAGUUUCUAUUAUAUUGCCUCUUUGCAUUAAUAAGUCCUUUUAACUGAUCUCAUUUAUCUUAUAGCUAUAUGUAGUUCUGUAUGAAUAACUUUCUUUAGCCAAAGGAUAUCAUUCAGAGAAAAUAUUCGCUAUAGAAUCAACUGCAGUACCUCCAUCUUUGUAUUUAGUACACAUUGCUUUUGCGUGCUAACCAAGCAUCUUUUUUAAUCAA